CAAUUUCAAUCGAUCGGUUUGCACUAGUCAGGUUAGGGCAUUCGCUUUGAAGUUUGAACUCUAAGAUCCGCAGCUUUAGCAUUCGCAAUCUGUGGGUAAGUUGAUUCAAAGGUAAUGGAGGGUGGAGUUGGAGGAGGAGCGGUGUCGGAGAAGCGAGAAGGAGAAGCUUCCUACACUUAUUGGGUGAGGGAAGCGAGGGAGGAUGCGGCACCGCUACCUGUUCCUCGCAAGCUCACCCCCGACGACCUUCUCAACUCUCAGCCCCCCACCCUAGGCUCCGUUUGGAAUCGGGCUGGAACUUGGGAGGAGAAAAACCUAAAUAAAUGGGCAUCUGAUAGAAUCAAGGAGUUACUUAUAUCGGUGGGGUCCUUGGAGUUCCCUAGUGGCAAAGCCGAAGUAUUGGACGUAUCGAAAUGCAUAGGCGAUAUACCAUAAUGUGGAAAUGAACCUCUGUACUGAUACACAUCAUUUCCUGGUUUCAAAUGGGUUGUCUUAGACCAGAAAAUUCGAUCCAUGAAGAUGAUUAGGCAUUUUUGGUGACUGUGCGGAACAAGAAACGUGUUGGCUACACGUAUGAGUUAACAUUGAAAUUCAAAGGGGAGUGGUCGAUUAAAGAAGAAAAGAAGAUAGUCAAGGGCCAUAUUGAUAUACCGGAGUUCUCUUUUGGUGAGCUGGAUGACUUGCAGAUGGAAGUAAGAUUGAGUGAAGAGAAGGAUCUUCCACACCAAGAUAAGUCGCGGAUUUGCCAGGAUUUGAUGCUAUUUUUGCAGCCUGUACGUGAAAAAUUGCUUCAGUUUGAACAGGAAGUCAAAGAUAGAUAGAAGAGGCACCAUUGUUUUUGUCUGUGACGGAACCCAUGGUUUUUAUCACGGUUAGUGAACUGUAGUUGUAUUUUUAAUCUCUAACUGCAAACCUGUUUUUCAAAUUCGUGUAAUGGAACAUAAGGCUCAUAAGGAGGCGAAACUUUCAAGUUUUUCCUGUGUCGCUUUAGUUAGUUCUAAAAGCCUAAGAUAUUACUUGGACACGGUGAUAAACUCUGUGGGGAUGCAUCCUACAAUCAGUAAGAGUAGCAAUCUUUCAUGCAUUGUGUUUUGUAUUUGGAACCGAGGAAAACCCAUAAAAUGUGUGGUUUCUUGUUGAA